UACAGGCGUGUCGGAGUAAUCAACAUCUUCGAGCUUUGGGAAGAUGUAUGGAGGCAACAGGCUUUUGCUCAAGUUAUCUUCUUCAUCUUGGGAAAGGUCAGACUGAUCAGGUUCAAAAACAUAUGAAGAAUCACCAGGCUCCAAUAUUGAAGAAUGAACCCCAUCAGUGUAAUGUGGGCUAUCUGAAUCAAAUAUAUCACUCUUGCCUGAACUAAGAUCUUCCUGCUUAGAGGCCACAGCUGAGACUUUGGAUACUUCACACUCUGAAAGCGAAUCGGCUGUUGGAUUCUGCGUCGGCUCUUGAGACACUUUGUUGGUAUCAGAGAGUUCUGAGGUUCCACUCUCUUUCUCUUUGUGGGGCAGCUUUUCCGAGAGAACAAGAA
rnacentral:lncRNA from 1 species